UUCCUUGGAAAAGGACAGCUGAGAGGGUGAAACUCCCGUCCGCCUGGUAGAAUGAGUCUUUGUCAACGAGUCGAGUUGUUUGGGAUUGCAGCUCUAAUUUGGUGGUAAAUUCCAUCUAAAGCUAAAUAUUGGUGGGAGACCGAUAGCGUACAAGUACCGUGAGGGAAAGAUGCAAAGAACUUUGAAAAGAGAGUUAAAGAGUACCUGAAAUUGCUGAAACGGAAGCGAAGGAAACCAGUGUCUGUUGGUUCAUAUUUCCUUGGCCACUUGUGGUUUGGGCG
rnacentral:rRNA from 1 species